UGAAAAUGGGCUAUGGCUUAGUGGCAGAGCAUCUGCUUUGUAUGUAAAAGCCUCUGGUUCAGUCCUGGGAUUUUCAG
rnacentral:tRNA from 1 species